GUGGGGCUGUAGCUCAGGGGCAGAGUGCUUGUCUAGCAUGCGUGAGGCACUGGGUUCAAUCCUCAGCACCACA
rnacentral:tRNA from 1 species